GGAGAGACUUAGAAUCCCCGGAAAUGCUGUGUGAAUAGCGGCGUUUUUGGCCGGACGAAGCGGUUCGUGAAUC
rnacentral:ncRNA from 1 species